AUGCACCACUUUGGACAGGCCACCGGACUGCGGAUGAACCCUGAAAAGUCAACUGUUGCCCCCAUCCAAUGCCAAGAAAUCAACCUUGACCAUACCCUGGAGGCUUUCGCUGGAGCACGCGUUGCCUUCCCGAUCACAUACCUUGGUCUUCCAAUCACCAUAGGUAGGCUCAGAAAGGUGCACCUGCAAUUCGUUUACGAUAGAAUUAGGGCAAAGUUAGCGAGCUGGAAGGGUAGACUGAUGAACGUAGCCGGCAGGCGCGCGCUCGUGCGCUCUGUGCUCACAUCUAUGCCUAUCUUUGCGCUCACCGCAAUCCAGGUAAACGCCAGCUUCCUCAAGGACAUAGAUAAAAUCUGUAGAAAGUUCCUCUGGGCGCAAAAAGAAAACCUUACGGGUGGCAAGUGUUGGGAAUCGUAG
rnacentral:rRNA from 1 species